ensembl:lncRNA
UCCAUCCAGAACCUGAGUGCUGGGGAGCAGGGACUUUGCACCCUGUUGUCCCAUUCACUUGCAGACCCACUUUAUUCCAAUUACAAAAGGAAAACCGGUAUUUAAAUCCUUUUCCCACUUUACAGGCUCUGGGAAGGCCAGACAGGAACAGCAGGGGCAACUUGUGUUGAAUUCGCAGCAACUUUUCCCCCAAGAUGUUCUUCACAGCAGCACUAAAUUAGCACUAAAUUAGCUUUCCCUUAAUCUAGCAACAAGUAAAGAAGCUUUCUGCAAAAAGAAAUAUAUAUGAAUAAAUAAAUCAAUCAAAACAUCAGAGCUCUGCUUUGAGUUCAGGGCUGACUUCUCCAUCUUGCCCAAAUGACUUAGGAGCACAAGCCCUCCUAGUAACAGAUUUGCAUAGACAUUUACAUGCUGUGAUAUCCAGGACCGAUGGAGUGUCCCCAUCUUGCUGUGGCCCUCCCUGCCACCUUCACCACAACAGCAGAUGCCUGCAGGUGCUCCAGCUGCAAGGUUUCCGUGGCGCUGCAGCCGCGACCUUGGGUCUUUAUUGGCUCUCCGAAUGGACCCUUUAUAGACUCCAGAUGGAAAGUAUAAAAUUAAUAACCCCUGGCUGGCAAACACCCAUAUGUUUUCCACCUUCUCCUGAGAUACAAUUUGUUUAUGGUGACAUUUAUUUAAUGCAAAUUAACAUAUAAAUGAAGAUGCAUGGCUCUUCCCAGAGACCUGAGGAAACUGGUUUGUGUGGUGCUAGAGGUGCACGGCCACAUCAACCACCCACCAGAAAGGCUCCUUUGGAAUUACCUGGAGCCUUUUUGAUUCUCUCCAGCCAGGAGGAAUUCCACCAGCCUCCCUCCAGGCCCAUUUUCUUUAACAAUAUAUUCCAGGCUGACCCUGGAGGUGCUAAUUGCUCUUUAUCUAAGACAACUGUUUCUCCCACCCCACCAGUGCUUUUGGUGGUCGAAGGAAUACAAUGCAUUAUCAGGAAACGAGAUACAUGUGUACAAAGGGUAUUGACUGGCGGGAGGUUAAAGAUACAGCACAAAGAGAGGCAGCCUUACAGGGGUACCCUGUUAACUAGUGAUGGAUGAGCCACUGGAAGAAGAAAGCUCUCCAAGGUUGGGCUGAUAAGACCCCAGCCACUUGGUGCCUCCCCAAGGUGCCACGACCAGGACCAACCUCUACACCUAUCCCUGGCUCCGGCCUCCUUCUCCUCCUUUUCUUCCUCCUCCUCCCAGCAGACAACCCAGGACAGGCCAAACUUGGCACGGAAAACCCUUCCACAAAGCCACCCCUGCGUCCCGUUUGUCCGCCAACGACCUUAGUUAAACCGGCGCAAGUUUCUUAAUUCCACGCCAGCCUAAGCCUUUAAAAACUGUUGACUUUCCAGAAAAGCAGGAAGUGGGUAAACACAGCGAUUGGCUGCUCUUCCUGCUGACCACAUGUCACCAGAAUGCAGGGGAAAAAAAAAAAUUCUAUUAGGCUUUUAUUUAACAUGAAUUUGAAUGUAUUCCAGGUCACUGAUCACAUAAGCGAUCACGAUACGGGUAAUAAAGAAGUUCCUACCAUACCUUUAUUUGCUUUCUCCCUGUAAUAAAUCUUUAUCACACACUGGGCUGAUUGCAACAGUAUCACUUCCUUUUUUUUUUUAUUUUUUUUUUCCCUCCUGUUUUAUAGGGCAGCAAAAAGCCAACUGGGCCCAUCUGCAAGCACACCCAAUGGCGCUGGGAUGGGAUGGCAAACAAAAGGCAGCCAGGGCAGCCACACUGCUGCCUUGAAGAACCAAGGGUUGACUUCCCUGGGUGCAGACCCCAACCUUCACAUGCUGCAAAACCCCAUGCAUGAUCCUUUGUGACUGCAGGAAAAGGGGGAAUCGUAGCGUGGCACUGAGGGACGUGGUUAGUUGGAUAGUGGGUGCAGUGUGGACGGGUUGAUGGUUGGACUUGGGGAUCCUUGUGGUCUUUUCCAACCUGCGUGAUUCCAUGACUGUGUCAUAGUAGGAAAUAUCAACCUGUGUGCUUUCUUAGUAAGUGAUCAUUAAGACGGUUUAAUAAACGAUCCAAGUGACAGCCCUAUGCUAGAACAGCCUCGAAUCAAACCAUUCUGCACAGGGAAGAAUUUUUGCUCCCUGUAAACCAAAAGUAAUGGGUCAAAGGGAAAUGAAUCCUGAGCAGUUCCCUGCACUUCUGAGCAUUUGGUGUUCUGGACCCCAUUCUCCCUCGUACCCUCAUGCUUAAUCCUCCUCAUUUGAAUGAUUUGCAUCCAAAUCUCUCCAUUUUUGUCCUUUCAUUCUCGAGCACACGAUGUUAGUUCCCGCUAAUACAAGGGCAUCAAUCGCCUUCAUCUUCUCCUAUUUAAUGAUAUUUAUUCAUCAUCGCAUGGGAGAGAAAUUGGCUGCAGCUCAAUUUGGCAAAAUAAAUUGGGACCAGUUCAAGCGUAAUCUCGCUAAACACACAGAUUUUAAUCCCCCCCCCCAAGUGAAGCACACUGCAUCUGCAAUGGAUGUCCUUGGUUCAAGAUCCAGAUGCUGAUUUCAAACUCCAGAAUCUCCCACUGCUUGCAGAGCUCACUUUGUGAGGACCAGGGACUACGUAAAUUCAGAACAGCUCCAGCACAGCUUUGCUCCUGUUGUCCUUAAUUGCUUGAAUACUGAGCAGGUUGAUAUUGUGAUUAUUUGUAGACAUUUAUACCAUCCCAGGCCUUCUUCUUUAUAACUUUAUUUCAUUUUCUGCUGUUUACUCACAACUACCUUUAUCACCGCACGCUGAUAGUCUGUUCUUUAUUGCCCCGGUGUGAUUGCAAGGAGUUUGAGCACAACCCAAUAACACACAUAUAUAAAUAUUUGAACAGGAAAAGAAAGUCUGUCUCAUUCAGGCUAUGGAAGGAGGGAAAAAUGAAAACAAAUAAUACCGCUAGAGGGACCUUCACACUGAACCACGGUGGAGGAGAGGUCACACACAGCCUCCACGAGUGGCACCGAUGGGACCCGCGGUGUCGGCAUGGAGCUUGCAAGCAGCAGCACCGCAUGCAUGCAGGGCUCGUUGUUUGCCGAGGAUCACCCGAAUAAUUCCACUUGAGCACAACAAACGUGUUUUGUUUUUGCAGUUAAAGAGCUGAGUCCUUUUAAUUAGUUGACUCGGGCCUUUCUGCAUGCGGUCCCCACGCACUGUGGCUGGUUCAAAGAGGAGCCUCUCUGUGUGUUUUCGCUUUUCUUCUCUUUUCUUUCUCCCCUUUAACACUGCGUGUGAAUAGUUGAAGACGGGAGCGAAAGACAUUGGACUUAGAAAGUAAAAUCUCCAGGAAGCAAAAAUGGAGGCAAACACAGGAGCUAAUUUAGGCAGGCAUAGCUGGUGUUGUUUGUGGUUGUCCCUGACAGCGCUGCUGACUCUAAAGCACCUGUGUUUGCUCACUAGCUUUCCCCAAUCUGCUAGAAAAUGGCCCUAGCAUGUCACAUGGCAGCGAGAUAGUCCGAGCGCCAUGGGAAUAAAAAAGCCUGAGCUUUUAACGGAGUUAAUCAUUAAUGCGCCUUUUCUUUGUCCCAUUCAGGAGUGCUGACAAGCGCUUUGAUAUUUCAUAUUUGCCAUCAGGUCAGCGGCAGUCAUACCCAGGUACUAAUGAGCGCCCUGGCUCACGCCUCCCUGUUUCAUGGCCCGCCUGAAGAUUUCGUCCCACUUGCCCUCAACCACAGCUACACGCAUAUAUAUCCCUGUCUAUAUGUGUGUGCAUGUCCCUGCUUCCAUGUCUGAAUGCAUCCCUGCAUAUAUGCACAUAGGCAUCCCUGUGUGCACACCCGAGCAACACCCAUGGGUGCAGCGCAUGCUCAGGAGAUCCCAGUUCAGGCACUUUUAUCCCCUCCUGUAGACAAAACCCAGGGCUCCCAGCUCCAGAUCCAAGCCCUGUGCUCCAUAUUGGGCAUCUCAAUGCAAUGCUUUGUAUCCACGAGCAGCUGUCAAUGCGUGCGCGCACUUCGGGGUUGAGCAAAUAAUCCCCAGUGAAUAAUGUAUGUGCGGGGAGGAAUGCAGGCUGCACUACUCGCCCCCAGUCCUGGCUGCCAGCAGCGUGUUUUCUGCAUCGUGCUUCUUCUCCCAGUUUGUUUGCCCUGAUGCACCCAGGUUUCCCUGUUCAUUGCAGGGGAAUUAGACUAGGUGACCUUUGAAGGUUUCUUCCAACUCCAACAAUUCUAUGAUUCUUUGGUUCUAUGGUUCUGAUUCCAUGAUUCUAUGGGUCUGUGAGCCUAUGGUUCUACGAUUCCAUGAUUCUAUGAUUCUACGGUUCUAUGAUUCUAUGAUUCUAGGGGUCUAUGAAUCCAUGAUUCUAGGGGUCUAUGAUUCUGUGGGUCUAUGAUUCUGUGGAUCUAUGAUUCCAUGAUUCCAGGGGUCUAUGUUACUAUGAUCCUAUGAUGCCACGAUUCUAUGAUUCUAUGUGUCCAUGGUUCUAUGACUCUAGAUGCACUGCUUGGGAACCAGUUGUAUGAAGGCAUGAUUACAAAGGAGACUGAGAAUGCUCGUCCUCCCUAAGAGCAGCAAGGCACUGCUAUUCUGUUGUCUGGCUUGGCCAAUAAAUGCAGUUGUUUGUGCCAGCACUGAGUAGAAAAACCUAUCCCUCAGCGUAAAGGCCAGGCAGGUCAGCAGGCCUCCAUAAAGCUGCUGUGCAAAGAUGAUUUGUGCUGGCUUCAACGAGAAUCACAGUCAAACUUCAAGGUGCUUGAACCUUUCCCUUGACUCGGGCAGAGACUGACAGCACAUUUCACUCCUCCUCGCCGGGGUUGGAUGCUGACAGAAUUGCAUCAGUGAGCUCACCGAGGGGACCUCCUGUCUGUGUUCAUGUAGUGUGGGGAGGAAAACAUGGCUGGAGCUGCCGAUGCUGCCAGCACAGCAGGGAGGUGCAGCCAGGCAUCGCAGAAGGUUGCACAAACCUGGGCUUCCUUCAGCAUCCCUCUGGGUUGGAAGUGUGUGCAGCGUGAAAUUAAUGAGCUAUUCAUAGAACCAUCAUAGAGUCAUAGAAUCAUGAAGGUGGAAAAGAUAACCGAGUCCAACCACAGCUCACCCCCACCGUGCCCACUGACCACGUCCUGCAGUGCCACAUCCCCACAGCUUUGGGAUGCCUCCAGGGACGGUGACCCCACCACUCCCUGGGCAGCUGUGCCACUGCCUCACCGCUCUUUCAGGAAAUAAACUGUUCCUAUCAGCCAACCUGAAUUCAGCCCUAAGCUUUUCAGUCUCCUUUUGCUGAGAUAUGGUGACUGAGCCACUUGGCUCCAUACUCCUCUUAGAUUAAAGAGGGAACUGCCAAAAAUGUCACAGAUUUCAGAGGCCGGCUAGUGGUGACUCACCCAGAUAACGCUCUCAAGGACGUAUAGGGAGCCCGGAACCGUAGUAUCAUGCGACAGAGCCACAUCUGGAGAAAUGGCCAAGGUCACCCCACCACUGGCUCGGGCCCCCACAGUGCCAGGUGAGGAAAAUCCUGCUCCGUAAAACUCACACUGGACAGAGAGGCAGAAGGGGAAGCGGGAGAAGGUUCGACCCCGGUUUGCACACAGAGAUAGGCCAGGAUUAGUCCCUUUAGUCUCUUUUAGCUCAUGCUGGCCACAAAGCUCUAAUCUAAGAGGAGAACUCCUGAGGCUGUGAUUGGACCUGGAAGUCAAUUCGCUGCGAGCAUCCUAUGCAGAGUUGAAGCCAGCCAAAAAGGAAGCCUUCCUGGAAAAAUAACAAAGGAUCCAUCCCGGAGAAGCAUCUUCUCAAAUAUCCUCGAGGCAGAGAUAGCACUUCUGUCCGCUCCCGAGUCUACUGAAGCGUAACGCAGCCAGGCAAGGGAGAGCCUCGAUCUCUGUAUUGCUUGUGCAACGGUGUGAGUUUAAAACCUGUCGGAACAUGGUCCUGCCCCAGCUGUUCUUGCACUGACCGUGCAGGCAGAUGGCUGGCAGCAGCAAAGCUCCGGCUGCAGAAAUCCGUAAGGAUCCCCACCGACCGCUUUUGCAUACAAUCCUGCCGGGGCCGCCUGCCCGCACCGCUCGGCAGCAGAAACCUUCGGGGCGGUUCGGGGCAGGAGACGUCCCUUUGGCAAGCGGGGCAGCGCGGCUCUCCUGCCCGACGUGCCAUUCCCUUGCGCUUUGAUGUCCGCUGCCUUUGAGCCAUCUCUGCAUGUCAUUAGGGGCCCGGACAAUUAAAGAAGUGCCUUCGCACCCCCCCUCUCCCAACCCCUCCCCGCAGCGGAGGGGAAGUCGGAAAAAAAUAAAUACAUCGGCCAACACGGCGAGCCGAUGCGGGGCUGAGUUCGCCUUCGGAUCGCGGCCGUGAGAUGGGAAAGUCGCCCGCAGGGGAGCGGGAGGAGCCGCGACGGUGACAGCGACAGUGACUGCCGGUCCGGCCGCUCGCCGCCGGCUUUGGUGGCGGAUUGGGUGGGGAGUCCUUCUGCCGCCCGGGUACGCGGCUCCGUCCUCGGGGCGGUCGGAUGCCGCUCGGUCUCCCCGAAAGUCAAAUAAUAAAAAAAAAAAAAAUAGAAAUUUAAAAUAAUAAUAAUAAUUAAAAAAUCGAUCUGUGGGAAUGAAGGGCGGAAGCGGAGCUUAACGCGCUGCUCUUUCUGAGGGGCUGGUAGAGGGGAAAUGCGGCUGGGAGGGUUCGGAGGAGGCUGGGGAUGCUCGGGUGUAGAAAUAGGCUAUCUAUCUAUCUACCUGUAUCUAUUAAUAGCGAUACCAUACAAAUAACGAGUAGAGGAAGGUCGCGGAGUGCAGCCCCGCUCCCGCCGGGCUGGGGCUGCCCGUGGCCGGGAGGUGAGCCUCUCCCGGGCCGUUCCCACGCGUGUCCCCUCCCCGCACGGCGACACGAGUUCGGUGGCAGGUCAUUGGCGAGUGCUGUCCCCGAGAGCCCGUCACUGCCGGGCACCCGCUCGGUCGGAAGCAGGGACCUGGCACGGGGACGGGGACACGCGUGCACAACCCGCCCCCGGUCUCCGUGGGCCUCGAGAGACGUCUCCUUCCCGAGUCCCCGCGUGUGCGAUGCCACUCGUGUUCGUGCCCAGCGGCCGAGCCCCGGCCCCGUUAAACGCUCGUUUUCCUCUUUUUCACCGUGUUGCCAACGAGAAAAUGAGGAUGGGGUCUUUUUCCCUCCUGUUCUUGCCCACGCGGGGACGGGGCACUGCCUGUGGUACCGGCAGCGGCGCUUCCCCGUGACACGGACACGGGAGAAAUGCCGCUCGGAGAGAGGAACGAAAAAGCGCCGCGGAGCCGGGGAGGACAACGGAAUAACGCGCAAAAAGAGGGGGGAAACAAAAAAAGGAAAGGAAAACAAACAAACAAACAACAACAAAAUAAAGGAAAGAAAAGCAGGAAGAAGCGCGCGGCUCCUGGGGCAGCGGCGAGGCGCGGCGAGUCGGCUACCGCGCAGCCCCGUUCCUUCUCCGACGGCCCCACAACGACUCGAGCCCUCGGCAACGAGCUGUGGGGCUGCGGCCAGCCGCACCCCGCGCCCCGACCCGUCCCCACCCCGCUCCCGCGCGGGAAUCCCCCUCGGACCCCAAAUCCCCCUCCUCAGCCCCGGCUCCUCCCGGCCCCGCGCUCCCACGGCGACGCGGAGAGGCGGGGAGCGACGGCACCGGUCCGUAACGCACCCCAAAACCGAGACGGAGCCGCCGUCCC